GAGACAGAAGAUGAUUUUCGCUAUCCGAUAGCUCAUAACAUGAGUGUUGAGUUGAUGGAAUCUAUUGGCAGACUCGAUGCCCAAGGGAGAAGAAAAAAGUAUGUCAUCGGAGGAUUUCCUCACACAGUUGAAGAAGGAGUAUUGCUCUGAAAGAGACCUUCUGGAGAUCAAGGAAAAAAUAAGUGUCAGUGAGUAUGUUGCCACAUUAACUAAGAAGAUGAAUUUAGUACCUCGUCUGGUCCUUACCAAAUUCUCAAAGGUUGGUGUCACAACUAGCAAAAUUAGGGUUAAGAGGGUGAAUCAUGUACAAAAACUUCCUCUAUGUAACCUUGCAACAUCAAAUUUGUGAAAAUUCAAACUACAAUGUUAUUUGAGUUCAUACGUUCAUACAUUGAGAAUCAAGUCAAAAUAUGUGACAUCCCCAAAUUUCUCGGCCAGAAAAGACCGAUUUAAUUUAUGCUUUUUAAAAAUCAAAUCAGAGAAAUCUUUAUAAAAGAUGUUGCGGAGUUGGUCCCCAAAACAAAAUAUGAUAAAAGUUUGUCAAAACCUUUCUUUAAGAAAUAUAUCAUUUCUUUUUAUAUCAAAACCUCGGGAUGUCAUGUUCCAAUACAGAUCAAAAGCAUAAACAAGACAUUAUAAGCCUUACAACAAUUAUUUGUAACUAUUGGCCUAUAAUCCAAAAUUCACUCAUCAUCAUCAUCCGACUAUGCUCGGGGUCCUCUACCUGUAAUAUAAACAACUGAGUGGGUCAGGCUUGGAAGCCUGGUGAGCAUAUAGGGUUUUCAACCCACAAUACAUAAAUUUAUUAUGUUUAUACAUCAAUCAAUCAACCUAACUACCCCAAACCCCAUUAUUUUAUUUAUUUCUUAAGGGUUUACCCUAAGAAUCAACUAUCACUCCUUCCUAAGGAUUCAUCCUAAGGAAUAGACACAAAGUCACCUCGUGACCGGGGUUUAUACAACGGGCACUAAUUCCAUAGCUGCCAAAGUUUAUUCAACAUGUGCUAAGUCCAUAGCUCUCAUUUAUCGACAGUAUUAUUUACAGGUGUUCUCUCCUGCAAUACAUGUCAAUGGGUUUUAGAGUACAGCAAAUGAACAUAUAGUUCAUUACACCUACAGGUUGCGGGCCUGCUAGUGUUCCAUAGACUGUCUAGAAUAGUCCAUGGUUGUCAUCCAUACUCUGCUGAAUGACGGGGGCCAACAAUUUGGGUAAGUGAUUCUCUCAAAUUUUCACCACUCACCCUCAACUCAUGAUCAAUAUUAUUGAUCAUCUCCUUUAUCCAACUCACCUUUCAUCAUACCCACUAUUUCAUCUACCCAUGUUCUACCCAACAUAUUUUGUAGAUAAAAAGCAUAUACAGUUUAAAACUUGUAUAAAACAUCAAUUCAACAGUCACCUCAGUCAAACAAUUAAUAUAUUUACACAUAACACGUAUUUCAAGGUAAAUACUUCAUAUCUAUGUGUAAAUUGAAAGUAACUACACACUCACUUAUUUUGGUGAAAAUCGGGCAGCAAUUCGUUUCCUAAAACGAUCGUUUCUAAUAAAACCGGGAGUUUUAUUGAGAAACCGGGCUUUGUAAAAGUCGGGCUUCGAAACCGAAAAGAUAAAUUUUCCGGGCUUCUCGGGCACUUCGUGGGGUAUUCCGGGCUUUACAAUCGAUACCGGGGCUUUGCGGGAUGUUAAUAUGAAGAAAAUAUGGGUUUAGGGGCUAAAUAUGGCAAAAUUCCAAAAAUACCCGGGAGGUCUCGCACCCUCCUAUUUAUAGGGGGAAGCUUCUGAUCGGACGGUCAGAAGUCUUCUGAUCCGACGGCUGAGAAGGCUCGCAGAGGGGUGUCUCGCACGAGGGCUGCGCGUGCGAAGGAGCUGCUGGCGGCCUGCGAUUGGACCGAAGUCCGGAUCCGAUGAGGGGGGUUCGUGGCACCUGCGAGGGUUCGGACUCAUGAGUCACUACACACGCGUCGGAUGCGAGGCUCGCCACCGAGGCUUCUACGUGUAGUCAGCGGAUUGGACCGCAGCUCGGACUCGGAAGGACAUGACACGCCUCGCCAGGUGGCUUCGUGACUCAGCAGCCUGGUGACUCAGCAGCUUCGGUGACUCAGCAGGACACGUGUCACAUGCGAGGCGAGGGUGACGUGGCAAAGUGUGACUAUGCGAAAUUUCUCGGUUUUCGCGCCAAAACUUCUAAAAUCCAUAACUUUCGCAUACGAGCUCCGUUUUUGACGUUCUUUAUAUGCACGCGUAGCUAAAAUUACGAUCUACAACUUCCGUUUAGACUUCGUCGGCUAAUUUUGACUUUAAAUUUUAUAUUAUUAUUUUUAACAGACCGGGACAGGAAAUCCGUUAAAAAUUCAUAACUUCUUCAUCCGACGUCCGUUUUCGUCAGACUUUUUACCGUUGUGCUCCUAAUGACGAGACCUUCAAUUCUCGUUUAGGUUGUGUCGGCUAAAAAUCGCUCGAUCUAAAAUUCGAGUUUUUAGCUGUCUACUGCUACGCUGAAACUUCGAAAAAUCAUAACUUCCUCAUACGAAGUCAGAUUUGGGCGUUCUUUUUAUCGAACUUCUCGGUUUAACGAAUACUACGACUUUCGUUUAGAUUACUAAGGCUAAAAAGUAGUUUAUCAAAAACUCACUUUUUACGACAUUCAGCACCGUGCCGGUUUUGUCGCGAAACUUCAAUAGGUCAUAACUUCUUCGUUAUAACUCGGAUUUUGGUAUUCUUUAUAUCCCCGAAAUCCUUGUUUCGACCACUACAACUUUAUGUAAAGAUAUCAGGCUUAUCUCACACUUUAAUUUUGACGCUUAUUUUUAUUUUUAAUUAAUUAAACCCUAAUAAUUAAGCAUAAAACACAUAAUUCACAUAAAAUUCACAUAAUUCCUUUUCAUUUCUUCUAAAUGAGUUACAAAGGUUAACCUAGACCAUUAUGUCAAUAUUAAUGCCUAGCCUAGAAACACGGGCGUUACAACUCUCUCCCCCUUAGGAUGAUUCCGUCCCCGGAAUCACACAACGACAAACAACUACGGGUAGCGACUCACUAUGUCACUCUCCGUUUCCCAGGUGGGAUUUGGCCCAUUUAUAAGUUUCCAACGUACAGGCACUAAAUCGACUAUCUUAUGUUACAACUUCUUAGUCUUACGGUUAACGAUUGCCUCAAGUUCUCCAAUUAAUCUCUUGUUCUCGUCCAACCUUAACUCAGAAAUGGGAAUUAUGUCGGGCACACCUCCCGUGAACUUUCUCAAAUAACACACAUGAAAGGUGUUAUGAAUACCCUCUAGUUCUUCCGGUAACUCUAGCUUGUAAGCUUGAUUCCGGAUUCUCUGAAGAACUUUAAAUGGUCCAAUAAACCUUGGACUCAACUUUCCCCUUCUACCAAAUCUUAUAAGUCCCUUCCACGACGAGACUUUAAGUGAAACCGAAUCUCCAACUUCGAAUGAUAUCGGUUGUCUUUUCUUGUCAGCAUAGCUCUUUUGAGCAGCUAACAUCUUUUUCCUAAUCACUUACAACUUUUCAGCAAUCUAAUGGACUAUUUCAAGUCCCAUAAACUGCUUUUCCUCUUAUAGACUCCUCCAAAACAUUGAGGUAAAACGGCUGUCACGAUCGGAUACAAUCGUUAACGAAACACCGUGAAGCCUCACACUUCCUUCACAUAAGAAUUCACGAGUUUAUCCAUAGACCACUUCUCGAUGGCUGCUAUGAAAUGCGCACUCUUAGUGAAGCGAUCAACGACUACCCAAAUCAUGUCGUGACCGUUCCUUGUUCUGGGCAGUUUAGUCACAAAAUCCAUGGUGACGUCCUCCCAUUUACCCAUGGGUACGGGUAAAGGUUCUAAACUCCCAUACGGUUCCUGAUGUUGUGCCUUAACCCUAGCACAAGUUACACACUCGGCCACAUACCUAGCAACAUCGAGCUUCAUCGUCAGCCACCAAUAAUAGGGUUUUAAAUCCCUAUACAUUUUUCUACUGCUGGGAUGAAUCGAGUACAUGGUCUUGUGAGCUUCUUCCAUCAGAAGAUCUCUUACUCCGCCCGUCUUAGGUACCCAAAUCCUAUCUUGAAAUACCUUCAACUCUUGGUUGUUUGUACCGAAUACUAACGUUUUGCCCAAACGUUCUUCCUUUCGGUCAUUUUUCUCUAAAGCUUCCUCUUGAGCUUUCUUUAUACUUUCCACAAUUGUCGAGACAACUUCAAUUCUCAACGCUCUUGGCCUUUACUUUUCAAGGUUUACCUUCCGACUGAGAGCAUCAGCAACCACAUUUGCUUUACCAGGGUGGUAAAGUAUCUCGCAGUCGUAAUCCUUGAGUAACUCUGGCCAGCAUUGUUGCCUCAUGUUCAAUUCCUUCUGAUUAAAGAGAUAUUGAAGACUCUUAUGAUCAGUGAAAAGUUUACACUUUGUGCCAUAAAGAUAAUGCCUCCAUAUCUUUAGGGCGAAUACUACCGCUGCCAACUCCAAAUCGUGAGUGGGGUAGUUCUUUUCAUGCUCUUUCAAUUGCCUCGAUGAAUAUGCUAUCACCUUAUCCAUUUGGGUCAGAACACAUCCUAACCCAACUCCAGAGGCAUCACUAUAAACUGUGAAGUCAUCAACUCCUUCAGGUAAUGAAAGAAUCGGUGCUUCACACAACUUCUUCUUUAACUUCUCAAAGCUUCCUAUGCUUCUCAUUCCAAGUAUAGACAGCUCCUUUGUGGGUCAAAGCUGUCAAUGGAAUCGCGAUCGAAGAAAAGCCUUGGAUAAUUCAGUAAUAAUAUCCAGCUAAUCCUAAAAAGCUUCAGAUCUUUAUAGGACCUUCAAUCGUAACCUUCGAGUUACAAAAUAAUUCCUUAUUGAGGACUCCUUCUUCUUCUUGGAAUAAGUACUUUCCUUCAUUUAUUGUAACAGACCGAUGGGUCAUGUUCUAAUGAUCUCUCAUUGUAUACUGCACUACUUAGACUCAGAUCUCCUUGGGACAAUUUUCAGAACAAACUACACCUUCCUUCAUGUUCUAAUGUGAUACAAUCACAGUUCAACAUGUAUGAUUCCUAAAUAUCAACUUCUUUAACAAUGAGUGCGAUACUUCUGUUGAUCGCUUUAAUCAUCUUUUACUUCAAUCUUCUGGCUUAAGUCAAAUGCUACAUCGAACUUGGUUCUCUGAACCACGUAACAUACUCAUCUUAGUCGGACUCGAUUCAAUAUGACCUCUAAGGUCGGAAUAACAAUCAUCUUCUUAGUCAUUACCGAAACGAUGGUAACGACAGACUAGAACAAGACGGAAUCAAAUAAUAGCUUCUUGGUAACCUUGUGACUUUCUCUGAUCCAAGUGCGAGUCCUGUGCUUCCAGUAGUAUAGAUCUCUACUACUAUUCACACCUACUCAUACUCGUCCCAAGUACUGUCUCGCAGUCCCCAAGUCCUAAAAUCACAAAACAAUUUAACACAUACAAAUGUGUCCAAUUAAUCAUAAAAUUUUCCUAGACUCUACUAGGACUUCUUUCACGCGUAUCUUCAAUGAUCAACUCUACUUCAACUUGGUUGGUAAUGGAAAUUCCAGAUAAUUGGGACAACUUCAAAAAUUACACCAGCCAUUCUAUUCAUCAGACGACAAAACCAGGGUUUAUUUUAUUUCCUUGAAAUGAUUACACAAAGAUUCAAGUUUACCCUAUAUUAUGCCUCUCAUAGGAUAAACUACUUGUUACUAUUCACAUUACUACUUGGUAACUUGAUCUUCGGGUAGUAAGUCAUGACUUCUACUUCCUAGUGUUAUUAAUCGCUUCUUCAAGGAUAUUCUGAAAUUCCUUUGGCAUUGAUGGUUCACUUGGCCUUGUUACUUCCUUGUUCUUCUGACAAUUCUUAGAAAUAUGGCCUUCUUCUUUACAUCCGUAGCACACCUCCUUGGGAAUCGUACACUUAUUGGCAUAAUGCCCUAUUUCUCCACAUUUAAAGCACUUCACCUUCCCGUCACAAUUCCCAGAGUGUUUAUUUUUGCACCUCCCGCACCAUUUUCCUUUAUCUCUUCUUUUGCCAAACUUUGAGGAUAUGUUGCUCUUGUUGGGCCUUGAAGACCCCUCAAAUUUCCUCUUCUUGCCAACUUCAACUUUGUUGGCGGUUGUGUCAUUGAUCAUUUCCUCAAUAGACUUAGCAACCCUAAUAGUUGCCUCAAGAACAGAUGCCUGACGUACUGGCACAAUAAGUUCAUCCUUACUUUGUUGAAGUAAACGUUUUGUUUCUUCCAUCUGUUCACCUAACAUCGUACGUACCAUUGCCUGCACUCCAGUCAUCGUGAUUGGCUCAGGCUGUGGAUUAUCACUUCCGAACCCACUUUGAGUACUCGGCAUUUCGAUCUAUACACCAAUCGUAGGUGAAUUUAGAUCUUCAUUUUUUUUGGUAAGAUGUUAAGUCUUCGAAACGUUUAUAUGUUAGUUCCAAUAUCGUAGUCAUACGUUUAGAAUCCUACACACAUAAGGUUUCCAGAUCCGGUCGGCAACAGACCAUAGAUCCGAACAAAUAAUAGCAUCAUUAUAGCUAUAACACAAAACAUUUAGCACAUAAGGGCAUUUUAGGCAUCUUCCCUAAAAUAAACUAGUGCUCGUGUCUAAAAUAUGGUAGACACUCAUCUCACAAUCAUCACUUAGCAUUCUAAGUUCAAGUCUAGAAAUUCUACAAUUUCUUAGUUCGCUUAAACUAAUGCUCUGAUACCAACUGUGACAUCCCCAAAUUUCUCGGCCAGAAAAGACCGAUUUAAUUUAUGCUUUUUAAAAAUCAAAUCAGAGAAAUCUUUAUAAAAGAUGUUGCGGAGUUGGUCCCCAAAACAAAAUAUGAUAAAAGUUUGUCAAAACCUUUCUUUAAGAAAUAUAUCAUUUCCUUUUAUAUCAAAACCUCGGGAUGUCAUGUUCCAAUACAGAUCAAAAGCAUAAACAAGACAUUAUAAGCCUUACGACAAUUAUUUGUAACUACUGGCCUAUAAUCCAAAAUUCACUCAUCAUCAUCAUCCGACUAUGCUCGGGGUCCUCUACCUGUAAUAUAAACAGCUGAGUGGGUCAGGCUUGGAAGCCUGGUGAGCAUAUAGGGUUUUCAACCCACAAUACAUAAAUUUAUUAUGUUUAUACAUCAAUCAAUCAACCUAACUACCCCAAACCCCAUUAUUUUAUUUAUUUCUUAAGGGUUUACCCUAAGAAUCAACUAUCACUCCUUCCUAAGGAUUCAUCCUAAGGAAUAGACACAAAGUCACCUCGUGACCGGGGUUUAUACAACGGGCACUAAUUCCAUAG
rnacentral:lncRNA from 1 species